ACAAAUUCAUUUCAUUCAGGUUACGUGCAAUAACUAUCGAUAACGGUGAGUAAUGUUUUGUAGCUAAAAAGCUAGCACACCGAAUUACAGAAAAAGUAAAUCAUAAACAUGGUCUAACAGUUUACCCCAUAAAAUUACAUCAUUCCAAAUUAUUCACAUACACACUUUACUUGUUCCGAUACCACGUUUAGGCAUCCUUAUAUUUAAUGGUUAGAGAUAUGUACUGCAGCUACAGUUGAGUCCAUCGAGUCCACCCCUCAUACAUUCUGACCUCUGCAGAUCUUGUAAUAUCUGUUUCUACCCAGUUCUCUCCCCAUGAAUUCUUUAAGAUCCAGUAAGGUUUUUCCUUAAACCGGAUGGGAGCAUAAGCACCAGCACCAUAGCCCACUCCAUGAUCCAAUGCUUGCCGGAGAUGUAUGGGCAUGAGAUGCCACCAGUAUAUGUGUACAUAAAAACUGCAUUGAUAGCAACUAUGCCAUGAAAAGGAAAAGUCAGUCUUUCUCUAAUCUCCCACAUGUUUUCUAAGUUAUGAAACAUGGCAUGUUUUUUAAGUUAUGAAACAUGGAAGA
rnacentral:lncRNA from 1 species